UGGGGAAUAUUGGACAAUGGGCGCAAGCCUGAUCCAGCCAUGCCGCGUGUGUGAAGAAGGCCUUUUGGUUGUAAAGCACUUUAAGCGAGGAGGAGGCUACUUGGAUUAAUACUCUAGGAUAGUGGACGUUACUCGCAGAAUAAGCACCGGCUAACUCUGUGCCAGCAGCCGCGGUAAUACAGAGGGUGCGAGCGUUAAUCGGAUUUACUGGGCGUAAAGCGUGCGUAGGCGGCUUCUUAAGUCGGAUGUGAAAUCCCUGAGCUUAACUUAGGAAUUGCAUUAGAUACUGGGAAGCUAGAGUAUGGGAGAGGAUGGUAGAAUUCCAGGUGUAGCGGUGAAAUGCGUAGAGAUCUGGAGGAAUACCGAUGGCGAAGGCAGCCAUCUGGCCUAAUACUGACGCUGAGGUACGAAAGCAUGGGGAGCAAACAGG
rnacentral:rRNA from 3 species